rnacentral:rRNA from 1 species
UUCUAAUAGAAAUAAUUAUUAGUAUGAUCUGCUCAAUGUAAUAUAAAUAGCCGCAGAUAUCUGUGCUAAGGUAGCAUAAUCAUUCGUCUUUUAAUUUAAGACUAGAAUGAAUGAUCUCACAUUUUAAAUAAUUUCUUAGUUUUAUUAUUAGAAAUUAUUUUAAGGAUAAAAAAAUCCUUAUGAAUUAAAAAGACAAUAAGACCCUAUUGAACUUUACUUUAGUUUAACUGGGGAAGUUAAUUAAAUAACAUUUUAAUUUAAUUUUUCUUAUAAGUAACCCAAUUAAUUUGAAUUUUAAUCAAGUUACCAUAGGGAUAACAGCAUAAUUAUUUAUAAAAGAUCUUAUUAAAUAAAUAGAUUAUGACCUCGAUGUUGAAUAGCGACCUAAUAAAAGUAACCAUUUAUCACAAAGGAAGUCUGUUCGACUUUUAAUAAGCUACA